UACGGAGGGUGCGAGCGUUGUCCGGAAUCAUUGGGCGUAAAGGGCGCGUAGGUGGCCCGGUCAGUCCGUGGUGAAAGCGCGGGGCUCAACCCCGCGUCGGCCUUGGAUACUGCUGGGCUGGAGCACUGUAGAGGCAGGCGGAAUUCCGGGUGUAGCGGUGGAAUGCGUAGAGAUCCGGAAGAACACCGGUGGCGAAGGCGGCCUGCUGGGCAGUUGCUGACACUGAGGCGCGACAGCGUGGGGAGCAAACAGG
rnacentral:rRNA from 1 species